UGGGGAAUAUUGCACAAUGGGCGCAAGCCUGAUGCAGCAACGCCGCGUGAACGAUGAAGGUCUUCGGAUCGUAAAGUUCUGUUGCAGGGGAAGAUAAUGACGGUACCCUGUGAGGAAGCCCCGGCUAACUACGUGCCAGCAGCCGCGGUAAUACGUAGGGGGCUAGCGUUAUCCGGAUUUACUGGGCGUAAAGGGUGCGUAGGUGGUCUUUCAAGUCGGUGGUUAAAGGCUACGGCUCAACCGUAGUUAGCCUCCGAAACUGGAAGACUUGAGUGCAGGAGAGGAAAGUGGAAUUCCCAGUGUAGCGGUGAAAUGCGUAGAUAUUGGGAGGAACACCAGUAGCGAAGGCGGCUUACUGGACACAAAUCUGACGCUGAGGAACGAAAGCGUGGGUAGCAAACAGG
rnacentral:rRNA from 1 species